UCAUAGAGAGGCUCGGAGGGUUGUAACAAGAUCUAGGGCCUUUUCAGUGGUGGCCCCCGAAUUAUGGAACAGUCUCCCCGACGAGCUCAACUCUUUCCUGGAAAACAUCCAUUUUAACAAUGGUGCUGGGCAUGAAAUCUUGAUUGAAAAUAGGAGAAUCUCAGCUGGCUAUGAUAUCAUCAACUGGAUCCAUGUCCCCAAUGGCAAAUACCAGAUAUUUCAAGUUGGGCAUAUUUCAGCAAGCCAUGAGUUCACCAUCAAUGAGGAUGCCAUUGUGUGGAGUAACAGUUUUAACCAGAAAAAGAAACAACAUAUAAACAAAGAGUUUGGGCAUGUGGAGAAGAGUUAAGAUCUACGUCUUUGAACAUGGUCGAACAUUAAGUACAAAAAAGAAGCAGAAAUCGCCUCUUCAAAAGUGCCAAAAAGAGAGUGUGAAAAAUUGAUUUGUACUAAAAGAUAAAACAUGAAGAGUAGUAGUAGAUUUGGAAGUAUAUCCAAUGAGGUUAACCAAAUUGACAUUACAGUAGGGCCCCACUCAUGCAUUGGGUUACGUUCCAGACACCUGCCGAAAAGUGAAACCCGCCGAAAAGUGGAACUCAUUCAAUAGAAUGGCGCCCAAUGCCCGAAAAAUGCCGUAAAAGCAGAACAAGCACCAUAUGUGGGUCCUUACUCUAAUUGAAAGCCACCGUAUUAACAGAACGCCGAAAAGCAGGCCGCAGAAAAGCGGGGCCCUACUGUAUAAAUAAUUGAAAAUAAUCAGUUAUGACUGUUCCCAUUUUUCCCUCUCCCCUCCACAAACAUAUCAGACAAAGCCUCAUUCCCAGUGUGUUGAGAGAUGUCACUUUGGAGAUCACAGGAUGGUUCGGGAGGGGGAACCCAUUUGCUGUUAUGACUGCACUCCAUGUCCAGAAGACAUGUUUUCUAAUGAGAUAGAUGCAGUCCAUUGUGUCAAGUCCCUGAAGAUCAAUAUCCAAAUGAAAACAAGGACCAAUGUAUCCCCAAGUUUAUAACUUUCCUAACCUAC